rnacentral:rRNA from 1 species
UAAGGAAUAUUGCUCAAUGGGAGAAAUCCUGAAGCAGCAACGCCGCGUGGAGGAUGAAGGGUCUAUGACUUGUAAACUCCUGUAAAGAAGGAAAAAAUUCCCAUUUGAUGGGAGAUGAUGGUACUUCUGGAGUAAGCCCCGGCUAACUACGUGCCAGCAGCCGCGGUGAUACGUAGGGGGCAAGCGUUGUCCGGAUUUACUGGGUGUAAAGGGUGCUCAGGCGGAUUUGUAAGUCAGAGGUGAAAUCUUACAGCUUAACUGUGAAACUGCCUUUGAUACUGCAAGCCUAGAGUAUGGAAGAGAGUGAUGGAAUAUCUGGUGUAGCAGUGAAAUGCGUAGAUAUCAGAUAGAACACCAAUGGCGAAGGCAGUCACUUGGUCCAUUACUGACGCUAAAGCACGAAAGCGUGGGUAGCAAACA